rnacentral:misc_RNA from 1 species
UCCGGUUUGUCACCGACAGUCUCGCAUGAGUCCCCAGCUUUACCUGCUGGCAACAUGCGACGAGGGUUGCGCUCGUUGCGGGACUUAACCCAACAUCUCACGACACGAGCUGACGACAGCCAUGCAGCACCUUGCACUCUGUCUGGUUUUACCCAGAAGGCCCUAUCUCUAGGGUUGUCAGAGGCAUUCUAGCCCAGGUAAGGUUCUUCGCGUUGCGUCGAAUUGAACCACAUGCUCCACCGCUUGUGCGGGUCCCCGCCAAUUCCUUUGAGUUUCAGCCUUGCGGCCGUACUCCCCAGGCGGAGUGCUUAUUGGGUUUCCUUCGGCACAGAGGGCUUGACGCCCCCAACACCUAGCACUCAUCGUUUACGGCGUGGACUAC